GGCCCCAUCGUCUAGUGGUUAGGACGCAAGGUUCUCAUCCUUGUAACACCAGUUCGACUCUGGUUGGGGCCG
rnacentral:tRNA from 1 species